UCAAGCUGAAGCAAAUUAGAUUACUUGCUGAACUUAAGCAUAUUAAUAAGCAAAGGAAAAGAAAUCAACUGAGAUUGCCUUAGUAAUGGCGAAUGAACCGGCAAAAGCUCAUUGCUGAAGCGUAUCAGAUUAACUUUUGGUAUGCAUUGUAGCAUUUGGGGUAACUUCUGUAGGACGCCUGUUCGUGUGAGUUCCUUUGAUCAGGGCUUUUACCAUAGAAGGUGCUAGUCCUAUAAUCACGAAUAGUUGUGUUUUACAUUGUCUACCUUUCGAGUAGCGUAGUUUGAGAUUGCUACGCCAACGUGGGACGUAAACUUGUUCCAAAGCUAAAUAUCAUAACGAGACCGAUAGCGAACAAGUACCGUGAGGGAAAGUUGAAAAGCACUCUGAAGAGAGAGUUAAAUAGUACGUAAAACCGUACAGAAGAAAACGAAUGGCCGCAUUCAUCAGAUGACUUUGAAUUCAAUUUGAUUUCUCUUGUAAUCCUAGUUGAUUUGGAACUUCAACAGUCCAUUAGCUAGUUAUUGCUUGUAAUCAGGUGCAUUUUCAAAGUAUUACUGAACCUGGAUCUAUAACAUAUAGCUAGUCGAAUCAGCCUAUCUUGGUAGCGAGUUUACUCGUGAAGGAUAUGGUUUGCAUAAAUAACAAAUUCGACUUGGCGUUAUAGGUAAACAGACACGUUUUUGAUUUCAGUACCUCGUGUACGGCAUGUCGUAAGCAUUGUUUGUGUUGCAUAAGUGACUAAUGUCUAACCGGCUUUAGUUUCAUUUAUGUUGAUGCCUAAUGUUUUAUGGCUGUCAAUGAAAUCGGCAAGUCUACAGGAGUUUUGAAUGCCGAGUUAUUCGACCCGUCUUGAAACACGGUCUAAGGAGUUCACUGCAUGUGCAAGAGUUCGGCUGUAUGAAAAGCCUUGCUCGUAAUGAAAGUAAAGAACAUUUCACGAUGUUUUAAGUGUGAUUUCUGUCAUCUGGUGCAAAUCAUGACCAUGAACGCAACACUGACAGGUUCUAUUGCCGCUGGCAAAGAGCUUAGUAAGAGUAUAUGCAAUGAGACCCGAAAGAUGGUGAACUUAAUGUGUGUAGAAUGAAGCCAGGGGAAACCCUGGUGGAAGUUCGUAGCGGUUCUGACGUGCAAAUCGAUCGUCAAACAUGCAUUAAGGGGCGAAAGACUAAUCGAACCAUCUAGUAGCUGGUUCCGUCCGAAGUUUCCCUCAGGAUAGCUGGCGCUCAAUUUUCACAGUUAUAUCCGGUAAAGCGAAUGUUUAGAGGCAUUGGGCGUAAAAUACGCUCAACCUAUUGACAAACUUUAAAUGGGUAUGAAGUUCAUUUUUCUACUUCAUUGAGAAUGAACAGCGAAUGUGAGUGCCAAGUGGGCCAUUUUUGGUAAGCAGAACUGGCGCUGUUGGAUGCACAAAACGUCAAGAUAAAGAGCCAGAUGGUCUCGCUCAUCAGAUACCAUAAAAGGUGUUGGUCGAUAUAGACAGCAGGACGGUGGCCAUGGAAGUCGGAAUCCGUUAAGGAGUGUGUAACAACUCACCUGCCGAAUCGACUAGUCCUAAAAAUGGAUGGCGCUCGAGCGAGCCUCUUAUACUUGACUGUUACGAUACAACAAGCCAUUUACGGACAUCAUGUCGUAACAAGUAGGACGGUUGAUAUGGUUGCGUCGAAGGCUAACACGUGAGUGUGGCUUGAGCAGUCAUAUGUACAGAUCUUAGUGGUAGUAGCAACUAUUCAAAUGAGAACUUUGAAGACUGACGUGGAGAAAGGUUCCAUGUGAACAGCUAUUGGACAUGGGUCAGUCAGUCCUAAGAUGCGCUCGAAAGAGGGUUCCGAACGAGGAAUAUCUAUUCAUCUAUUGAUAUAUAUUCCAUCCAAUCGAAAGGGAAACAAGUUAAUAUUCUUGUACUAAGUGUCGGAGAUUGUUUAACUUCACGUUGAACAUAUGUGGCAACACAAACGAGCUCAAAUACAUCACAAGUGGUCCUGGAAAGAGUUUUCUCUUCUUUGUUACUUCAUCAGACGACCCUGGAAUCAGUUCAACUGGAGAUAGGGUUCAAAUGAAGGUAAAGAGUAGCCGUUCUUGCUACUUCCUCGGUGCAUCAUUUGUGAUCCUUGAAAAUUUGAGCGAGAUAAUCAAUUUCGCACUUAUCUGUACUCUAAACCGCAUCAGGUCUCCAAGGUGAAAAGCCUCUAGUCAAUUAGAACAAGGUAGCACAAGGGAAGUCGGCAAAAUCGAUCGGCAACUUCGGGAUAACGAUUGGCUCUAAGUGCUAGGGUGUUCGGGCUUUAUGAUAAAGCAGUAGACUUGCCAUUGGAGCUGAACUUUUGGCUGCAGCAAUGUAGCUGAUCGUUCGGACUAGUGACUUGUCUUGCUGUGGAAUCGUUUUGCUACGGUAUGCGGUUCGUUCGCGGAUCGUAUUACUUCGGGCAUCGUUUAAUAGCAAACUUAGAACUCGCUGCGUCUAGGGGAAUCCGACUGUCUAAUUAAAACAGAGCUUUGC